rnacentral:rRNA from 1 species
CCUACGGGAGGCAGCAGUGAGGAAUAUUGGUCAAUGGGCGCUAGCCUGAACCAGCCAAGUAGCGUGAAGGAUGACUGCCCUAUGGGUUGUAAACUUCUUUUAUCGGGGAAUAAAGUGCAGUACGUAUACUGCUUUGCAUGUACCUUAUGAAUAAGGAUCGGCUAACUCCGUGCCAGCAGCCGCGGUAAUACGGAGGAUCCGAGCGUUAUCCGGAUUUAUUGGGUUUAAAGGGAGCGUAGGCGGGUUGUUAAGUCAGUUGUGAAAGUUUGCGGCUCAACCGUAAAAUUGCAGUUGAUACUGGCAGCCUUGAGUACAGUAGAGGUAGGCGGAAUGCGUGGUGUAGCGGUGAAAUGCUUAGAUAUCACGAAGAACUCCGAUUGCGAAGGCAGCCUGCUGGACUGUAACUGACGCUGAUGCUCGAAAGUGUGGGUAUCAAACAGGAUUAGAUACCCGGGUAGUC